AGAUCAUGCAACAGGUGAAGACAACGGCAGACGUCAUGUCACAACCAAGGACGAUACACGAGAGGACUGUUUAUGCCUUCUCAAUGUUCUUGCGAGAGGAGAUGCUGCAAAUCCCAGAAUGCGAAUGGCUUGGUGACUCCUCGGAGGCCUUUGCCUUGGCAAGGGCCCACAGAUCUCCUCAGCCAAAUCUGAUGAGGCACAUGCCAUUCAUGGGACACCCACAAAUGGAGAUGAUGGCACCACACCAUGCUCACCAGGCGAUGAUGGGACCACGACACAUGGCAUACCCAUGAGUGGCAAGUGCACUCAACAUCAGGGUAGGCAGCUCAACGCCACAUCAGGCACAUCCGGCAUCCACAACAUUCCCAGCGCGAUUACAGAGUCAGGACACAAGUGUCAACUUGAGUCUGAAUCUCUCGGACUAUUUGAUGGACGAUAGCCCAGUGCAAACCGGCCAUAAAGAAUGAUGUCCUUUCACCAAUAUUCAAUAUUCUGUAGACGUGUUGUAUAUUAGGUGCUGUAAAUUUAACAUCUGCAAUCAGAGAAAGGAAGAAACAGUAAACAAUUAUAUUGUAGCAUUAAAAAAUAUA